rnacentral:rRNA from 1 species
UACGUAGGGUGCGAGCGUUAAUCGGAAUUACUGGGCGUAAAGCGUGCGCAGGCGGCUUUGCAGGACAGAUGUGAAAUCCCCGGGCUCAACCUGGGAACUGCAUUUGUGACUGCAAGGCUAGAGUACGGCAGAGGGGGAUGGAAUUCCGCGUGUAGCAGUGAAAUGCGUAGAUAUGCGGAGGAACACCGAUGGCGAAGGCAAUCCCCUGGACCUGUACUGACGCUCAUGCACGAAAGCGUGGGGAGCAAACAGG